rnacentral:rRNA from 1 species
GAUGAACGCUAGCGGCAGGCUUAAUACAUGCAAGUCGAGGGGUAGCAAGAUUGUAGCAAUACAAUUGUUGACGACCGGCAAACGGGUGCGGAACACGUACACAACCUUCCUACAAGUGGGGAAUAGCCCAGAGAGAUUUGGAUUAAUACCCCGUAACAUAGCGAUGUGGCAUCACAUUGCUAUUAUAGCUUCGGCGCUUGUUGAUGGGUGUGCGGCUGAUUAGAUAGUUGGCGGGCUAACGGCCCACCAAGUCUACGAUCAGUAGCUGAUGUGAGAGCAUGAUCAGCCACACGGGCACUGAGACACGGGCCCGACUCCUACGGGAGGCAGCAGUAAGGAAUAUUGGACAAUGGACGCAAGUCUGAUCCAGCCAUGCCGCGUGAAGGAUUAAGGUCCUCUGGAUUGUAAACUUCUUUUAUAAGGGACGAAAAAAGGUCUUUCUAGAUCGUCUGACGGUACCUUAUGAAUAAGCACCGGCUAACUCCGUGCCAGCCGCCGCGGUAACAC